CCCUGCACUGUAUACCUGGGAUGUGCUUGGACUCCUUAUUUCUGAGGUGUGUGACUGGAGAGUGAAAGAGUGAAAGAAUGAACAAACUAUUUAAAAAUACCCAUAUAUGUUUCAGAUGCGUGUCAAAGCCGUCCAUGGAGAGCUGCCUUUGCUGUCACUAUGACUGCACUUAUUCUCUUGGGCAUCGUCCAGUGUGUGUUCAUCCAUCGUUGGAAGAAAAGCCAUCAUCCUCCAGGGAUACGAAAUGAGACACACAGAGGAAGAAGUGGAAAUAUAUAGAUUUGAAAAGAUAUGAUAUGGGAGAACAUUGAAAUGAAAUGCUAGAUGUGUAAUACAGAAGAAUUAAGCAGCUUCCCCCUUGUUGAAGGUGACAGCAUCAGGUCUUCAUGCAGGUGUGGUAUACACCAAUCAGCCCCAACAUUAAACCCGCCUGCUUAAACCAGUUUUUUAAUGAUUAAAAAUGCUUUAUACAGUGAUAAAAACUGUAUAAACAUGUGUAUGGACCCUUAAUAUUUAAUUAUAUGAUAGGUGCACUUAUAUAAGCAGAUAAUCAUAAGUGAAUUGCAUUCACAAGUAAAAAAUUUUAAUGAAAAUGGAAGUCUUGUGAACUCAUUGUGGAGUGCAUUUUUUGUUAUUUAAAUAUCCUGGUACGUACUGGUCUAUCGUAACUGGUGCUAAAACAAAAAUAAAUACCUAAGACCAACUUCAUAUUGAAGAAAUCGAGGCUGAAUAAGACUUCUGUACAGUACUGUAUAUAGUGUGGCAGGUUUAAAUAAUAAUCUGUAAAUAUCUGUAGAUAUUUAUAAUGGGGGUGGCAUUGGCUCGGGAGGUAAGAGUUGGAGGGUUGCCGGUUCGAUCCCCCCCUAGGUGUGACAAAGUGAGCGAGACACCCAACCCCCAGUUGCUCCUGGUGAGCCAGUUGGUGCCUGUAUGGUGUGUGUCAGUGUGAUAUGCCUGGUUUUAUAUGACCUUGAUAUGCAGUGUUUUUUAUGAGCUUGAUAUGCACUGUUUUGAAUAAAAGCUUCUGCUGAAUAAAAUGUAAUGUACUCAG